rnacentral:rRNA from 1 species
GCAGUCGAGCGAAUCGAUGGGAGCUUGCUCCCUGAGAUUAGCGGCGGACGGGUGAGUAACACGUGGGCAACCUGCCUAUAAGACUGGGAUAACUUCGGGAAACCGGAGCUAAUACCGGAUACGUUCUUUUCUCGCAUGAGAGAAGAUGGAAAGACGGUUUACGCUGUCACUUAUAGAUGGGCCCGCGGCGCAUUAGCUAGUUGGUGAGGUAAUGGCUCACCAAGGCGACGAUGCGUAGCCGACCUGAGAGGGUGAUCGGCCACACUGGGACUGAGACACGGCCCAGACUCCUACGGGAGGCAGCAGUAGGGAAUCUUCCGCAAUGGACGAAAGUCUGACGGAGCAACGCCGCGUGAACGAAGAAGGCCUUCGGGUCGUAAAGUUCUGUUGUUAGGGAAGAACAAGUACCAGAGUAACUGCUGGUACCUUGACGGUACCUAACCAGAAAGCCACGGCUAACUACGUGCCAGCAGCCGCGGUAAUACGUAGGUGGCAAGCGUUGUCCGGAAUUAUUGGGCGUAAAGCGCGCGCAGGUGGUUCCUUAAGUCUGAUGUGAAAGCCCACGGCUCAACCGUGGAGGGUCAUUGGAAACUGGGGAACUUGAGUGCAGAAGAGGAAAGUGGAAUUCCAAGUGUAGCGGUGAAAUGCGUAGAGAUUUGGAGGAACACCAGUG